rnacentral:tRNA from 1 species
UUCAGUGUGGCAGAUAAAUGCACUAAUCUUAAAAGUUAGACAUAAAACUAAGAGUUUUCACUGAAA